AUGGAGGCAACGAACACGGCAGCAGAAGUUGAUUCUCCCCAUCCUCUUGGCAACGGUCUGGUCCUCCUCGACUCAGCCAUGGCCCUCCCUUCCUCAUCGUCGUCUCCGAAGCCGGAGAAUAGUGGCAGAGGACUAUCGGGAAGCACCAAGGUGUUGAUAUGUCUGUGGCUGCUGGCGCUAUUUGUCCGGUCAUCUGAUGCAGAAGAGGUGGGACUGAAAGGCUGUGAGUUCAAUGACUGGAGCAAGACGUGGAACAAGAUAUGCGUGAAACGUGGCACUUGCAACACGCCCUGCAGAGCCGAGGGCUGGGAAAAAGGCGCAUGCUUCUUCAUCAAUCACUGCCUCUGCUACAAGAACUGCUCCCCGUCCCCGGCUACUUGA
rnacentral:rRNA from 1 species